rnacentral:rRNA from 1 species
GACGAACGCUGGCGGCGUGCCUAAUACAUGCAAGUAGAACGCACAGUUUAUACCGUAGCUUGCUACACCAUAGACUGUGAGUUGCGAACGGGUGAGUAACGCGUAGGUAACCUGCCUGGUAGCGGGGGAUAACUAUUGGAAACGAUAGCUAAUACCGCAUAAUAUUAAUUAUUGCAUGAUAAUUAAUUGAAAGGUGCAAUUGCACCACUACCAGAUGGACCUGCGUUGUAUUAGCUAGUAGGUGAGGUAACGGCUCACCUAGGCGACGAUACAUAGCCGACCUGAGAGGGUGAUCGGCCACACGGGGACUGAGACACGGCCCAGACUCCUACGGGAGGCAGCAGUAGGGAAUCUUCGGCAAUGGACGAAAGUCUGACCGAGCAACGCCGCGUGAGUGAAGAAGGUUUUCGGAUCGUAAAGCUCUGUUGUAAGAGAAGAACGGGUGUGAGAGUGGAAAGUUCACACUGUGACGGUAUCUUACCAGAAAGGGACGGCUAACUACGUG